ensembl:lncRNA MAILR macrophage interferon regulatory lncRNA
AGUUUGACACAGCUGAGGCGGUUGUAGGGGAAUUUUUCAGGCUGAUUUCUGGGGUGGGAACUUGGAGUCUGUAUUUUUACAGAACUCUUCAGGACACAAACCACAGUCAAAAAAGGUCUUCCUGAGUUCUGAAGGUCAAGCAAUUAGAAUUUUCUCAGGCUUGUAGAAGAGUGGAAUUCUGGAAACCAGUCUUCGCCUCAGGGGAGCAUCUGUUGGAAGUUCUUAGGGAUGCUCAGGCAUAUGGCCUCAGAAACAUGGGCUAUUGAGACAGAGAAAAAGACAACUCUGGAAGGAGAGAGCCUGGCCUUACAGAAGACAUCUGAACUAUCAAUCAACAGAAAUCUCACGUAUAGUUGAAGAAUCAGAAAUCUGAGCGUAGGAAGAAGUGGGUUAGCCCUGGAGAAAGGAAAAGGAGGAUCAUGGUUCUCUGCAAAGAGCUGGAAGCUAAAAAGCAGGCUGUGUUUACUUACCAACCAGGACUCAGUGGGAUCUUUGCCAGCUUCCAAUAUGGCCUUAAAAGUAUAUGAAAUCCAAGAAAUAUUUCUGCAAAGCAAGAGAU